AUGCUGGAAGGGAAGCCCGUCCCAUACCAUCCGCCAAUUGGCGCCGGCGCCGGUUGUGGAGACGUAAAAGGGGCAUGGACGGGGCAGAAGAGGCACAAGUACGAAGCCCCAUCUCUUACAUCAUCUUCUGAUGCUUAUGGAGAGACGAUUGGCCAGGAUAACGAAGAACGUCCCAACGAGAUCGCCGAUUCACCAGAUGAGCUUGCGGGCCUGGAAAAUGAUAUCGUCAGCGAGGAGGAGUUCCUUGGAUGCCUUAAGGUUUUAACCACCAGGCGUGCUCCUAUGAUCAUCACAGGGCGCAGGCUGGACGAGGAACAUCAACGCAAGCUCUACGAGCGCCUCACUCUCUACCGUAUCAAAGCUCCCAAGUUGGCACAAGGAGUUUGCAUAGAUGAUCAGAAGGAUGUGACUUUGGGAAACGAGUACUCCCCAGACAAUCUGGAGGACCUGUUUGAUUACUAUAAGAAUGCUGAUUCUCUGGAUUGGUACUUUGACCGUGGCUACUCUUUGCUUGCUGACUUGGAUGACUACCAGAGCCUUGUCCUCAAAAAUGGAGACGAUGGUAGAAGGUUCUGUGAUUGGGAAACAUACCGCUCAUUGUUUACUAGCUAUGAAAUUGAUGAAGAGUAUGUAAAGCUCUUUGAAGAAAUAUCAAAGAAAAUCAAGUGGCUUAAACGUUAUAUGGAAUAUGAACGAGCAUCUUCCAAGUGGAAGGAGAUGGAUGAUAGAGGAUUCUGCCAAGCAGCGAAGAUUGCGGCAGGCUUUCCGCGCAUGAGCUAUAAGUUAACUUUAAUGGCCUAUGAGGACAUGGAUCGUCUCUUUUUUGAGAUUUGGAAGUUUGCUACUAAGAAAAUGGGUGCCACUGAUAAGAAGAUUGAUUUUAGGGCUGGUUUGGUUGACGUCUGUCGAAGGAAUAUAUUACCUCGAUAUAGAAAGAGAAUGGAAUUCGCACUGGAUCAUAGUAGUCUUUCUGAUUUGGAAUCAAAUUUUGAUACUUGCGUGGAAGACAUCCCUGAUGAUGCUACAGAGGACGGAGCAUGCCGUUUGAUUAGAUCGGCAGUAUGGAAUAAGCUUCAUAAACCCAUGAUGUGGCACGAGUAUAUUUUGAGGAAGAUGAAGAUUGCUAAACACAUUGGCCUGGGUCCAUAA
rnacentral:rRNA from 1 species